GAAAUGCGAUAAGUAAUGUGAAUUGCAGAAUUCAGUGAAUCAUCGAAUCUUUGAACGCACCUUGCGCUCCUUGGCAUUCCGAGGAGCAUGCCUGUUUGAGUGUCAUGAAACUAUCAAACUGCAAAUGUUUUUGUUAACACUUGCUGGUUUGGAUGUUGGAUGCUUGCUGGACACCCAGCUCAUCUGAAAUUUAUUAGCUGAUCUAAACAUCAUGGAUUAUCCACUUGGCGUGAUAAGUAUCACCCGCUGAGGACUUGUCUAGAGAUGAUGGAUUGCUUCUAAUCAUGGGUACUUCUGUAUCUCAUAUUGAAUCAUCUGACCUCAAAUCAGGUAGGACUACCCGCUGAACUUAA
rnacentral:misc_RNA from 1 species